rnacentral:rRNA from 1 species
UGCCAGCCGCCGCGGUAAUACGUAGGGUGCUAGCGUUGUUCGGAAUUAUUGGGCGUAAAGCGCGUGUAGGUGGUUAUGCAAGUCGGGUGUGAAAUCCCUGGGCUCAACCCGGGAAGUGCAUCCGAAACUACAUAACUAGAGGACGGCAGAGGAAGGUGGAAUUCCUAGUGUAGAGGUGAAAUUCGUAGAUAUUAGGAGGAAUACCGGUGGCGAAGGCGGCCUUCUGGACCGUUCCUGACACUGAGACGCGAAAGCGUGGGGAGCAAACAGGAUUAGAUA